rnacentral:rRNA from 1 species
UAGCUUGCUCUCGGGUGACGAGUGGCGGACGGGUGAGUAAUGUCUGGGAAACUGCCUGAUGGAGGGGGAUAACUACUGGAAACGGUAGCUAAUACCGCAUAACGUCGCAAGACCAAAGAGGGGGACCUUCGGGCCUCUUGCCAUCAGAUGUGCCCAGAUGGGAUUAGCUAGUAGGUGGGGUAACGGCUCACCUAGGCGACGAUCCCUAGCUGGUCUGAGAGGAUGACCAGCCACACUGGAACUGAGACACGGUCCAGACUCCUACGGGAGGCAGCAGUGGGGAAUAUUGCACAAUGGGCGCAAGCCUGAUGCAGCCAUGCCGCGUGUAUGAAGAAGGCCUUCGGGUUGUAAAGUACUUUCAGCGGGGAGGAAGGCGAUAAGGUUAAUAACCUUGUCGAUUGACGUUACCCGCAGAAGAAGCACCGGCUAACUCCGUGCCAGCAGCCGCGGUAAUACGGAGGGUGCAAGCGUUAAUCGGAAUUACUGGGCGUAAAGCGCACGCAGGCGGUCUGUCAAGUCGGAUGUGAAAUCCCCGGGCUCAACCUGGGAACUGCAUUCGAAACUGGCAGGCUAGAGUCUUGUAGAGGGGGGUAGAAUUCCAG